CUUGUAUCAGCUUCAUCUUCAGAGAGAAUGAGCCGUGAAAUUCCCUGACUAAAUGCAGUUUUGAUCUUCGUUAUGUUCUUAUGAGUGUUUAAAGUUGUGUGCGUCCAGAGAGAAAACCACACACUCAUAUGCUGACACUCCUCAGGACAUAAAGCAAAGACGAUAUCACUUAAUAUUCAUGCUCAUCUUUGAUCUGUGCACAGAGAGUACUGUUUAAUACAGCUAAUCAAGAUCUGGCUCCCCCUCUUCAUAUGCUUGUAUAAAUAAAUCUGUUAAACU